ensembl:snoRNA small nucleolar RNA SNORA11
GGGGCAUGCUCAGAGCAGAGGGCCUGAGGAAAUGGUUCUUUGGUUCACAACAGAGUCAACAGGAAUUUGGGGUCAUUGUGACAAGGAGAACAAAACCUGUGGCCUUACUAUGAAUAAGCACCCUACAUGU